rnacentral:rRNA from 1 species
UACGGAGGAUCCAAGCGUUAUCCGGAAUCAUUGGGUUUAAAGGGUUCGUAGGCGGUUUAAUAAGUCAGUGGUGAAAUCUUGCAGCUUAACUGUAAAAUGGCCAUUGAUACUGUUAGACUUGAAUUGUAUGGAAGUAACUAGAAUAUGUAGUGUAGCGGUGAAAUGCUUAGAUAUUACAUAGAAUACCAAUUGCGAAGGCAGGUUACUACAUACAUAUUGACGCUGAUGAACGAAAGCGUGGGGAGCGAAC